CCUACGGGAGGCUGCAGUGGGGAAUAUUGGACAAUGGGGGGAACCCUGAUCCAGCGACGCCGCGUGAGUGAAGAAGUAUUUCGGUAUGUAAAGCUCUAUCAGCAGGGAAGAAAGAAAUGAUGGUACCUGACUAAGAAGCCCCGGCUAACUACGUGCCAGCAGCCGCGGUAAUACGUAGGGGGCAAGCGUUAUCCGGAUUUACUGGGUGUAAAGGGAGCGUAGACGGCGAUGCAAGUCUGAAGUGAAAGGCGGGGGCCCAACCCCCGGACUGCUUUGGAAACUGUAUGGCUGGAGUGCAGGAGCGGUAAGUGGAAUUCAUAGUGUAGCGGUGAAAUGCGUAGAGAUUAGGAGGAACACCAGUGGCGAAGGCGGCUUACUGGACUGUAACUGACGUUGAGGCUCGAAAGCGUGGGGAGCAAACAGGAUUAGAUACCCCGGUAGUC
rnacentral:rRNA from 1 species